GCUCCUUGGUAUAGCUCAGUCGGUAGAGCAUGAGACUCCUAAUCUCAGGGUUGUGGGUUCAAGACCCAUGUUGGGCA